rfam:Legionella drancourtii LLAP12 genomic scaffold scf_45, whole genome shotgun sequence.
GAUGGUAGGCCCAUCGGUAUCGGUUGUCAGGAACAGGUAUCAAACUACUUCAAACUGCUUUUGUUAAGAGCAGGGGUGGUGAGCGUUGAAGAAAAGCUGGGAACACUCAGCAGGU